rnacentral:rRNA from 1 species
CCUACGGGUGGCUGCAGUGAGGAAUAUUGGUCAAUGGGCGAUAGUCUGAACCAGCCAAGUAGCGUGAAGGAUGAAUGCCCUAUGGGUUGUAAACUUCUUUUAUAUGGGAAUAAAGUGAGGCAUGUAUACCGUUUUGCAUGUACUUUAUGAAUAAGGAUCGGCUAACUCCGUGCCAGCAGCCGCGGUAAUACGGAGGAUCCGAGCGUUAUCCGGAUUUAUUGGGUUUAAAGGGAGCGUAGGUGGGUUGUUAAGUCAGUUGUGAAAGUUUGCGGCUCAACCGUAAAAUUGCAGUUGAUACUGGCAGUCUUGAGUACAGUAGAGGUAGGCGGAAUUCGUGGUGUAGCGGUGAAAUGCUUAGAUAUCACGAAGAACUCCGAUUGCGAAGGCAGCCUGCUGAACUGUAACUGACGCUGAUGCUCGAAAGUGUGGGUAUCAAACAGGAUUAGAUACCCUUGUAGUC